ACACACACAAAACAACAAUCCAUUUGUUUUACAUAGGGAUGUUAAAAAUGGGUUUUACCCAGUUGGGUACCCGAAACCAGGAUAGAAUGGGCAGGACCCGUUUACACAAAAUUUUACACGGGUUUUAAAUGGGCAGGACCCAUUUACACAAACUCUUACACGGAUUUACCCUUCUGGAUGAUGGGUACCCAUCGGGUUUUUUCUUACUUCAUGUCAGUUAAUCAUAAGCCGACAAAUCAGGGUUUUUGAUUCUCAUCAUCAAUCGUUUGACCUUUGAUCUGGGUUCUAAAAUUCUUAUUUUGUGGGCUGCCCUCUGUUUAUCAUGCUUAUUGAAGAUGCUUGAGUUCGUCUCAUGAAGUUGGACUGUGGUGAAAAACACGAAAGAGGCAAUUUUAAUUUCGAGGUGGCUAUAAUUUUCUUAUUGCACAUAUUUGUUAAAGAUUAGUUUGAGUGGGGGAGGAGAAGACACCAAGUUACGAUUUGUCUCUUUGUUUCUUACUUUCUUUUAUUGUUUUUAUUUUUCUAUGUUGACGGUGUUCAAUUGUUCAUGGUGGCUUUGGUUUAAUAUCUA